UGCGCAGGCGGACUCUUAAGUCAGUGGUGAAAUCCCGAGGCUCAACCUCGGAACUGCCAUUGAUACUGGAAGUCUUGAAUUUGGUUGAAGUGGGCGGAAUGUAGCAUGUAGCGGUGAAAUGCUUAGAUAUGCUACAGAACACCGAUCGCGAAGGCAGCUCACUAAGCCAAUAUUGACGCUCAGGCACGAAAGCGUGGGGAGCAAACAGGAUUAGAUACCCUGGUAGUCC
rnacentral:rRNA from 1 species